GUCACACUCUCUCCCAGCUGCACUGAGGGGAAAUAAGUCACCCAGGACAAACGCAACGACUAAUAACAUCCAGACAUGUCUAGCUAGUGCUCUCUGAUGUUCAGUAUGAAUACUGUUUAACUUAGAUAGAAAUGAACCUAUAUUGCCUAAUUGGUUUGAGUCUAAAGGGGGUGAGAGAAGGAGGGUUAUGAUGAGAUCAAUAACUCACUGAGUGAAUCUGUCCCUCUCAAGACUGCCAUCACUCCAUCAGCAUGCAAUAACGCUGGACUCAAUUCCAGGUUCCCGCAGUGUGGAGGGAUUCUCAUCAGCCUGUGGCAGUAUUUAAACCAUACAGCCUAGAGUAUGAUUCAAACCCUAGCGUGGAAUGUUAGAAGUGCCAGUGAUGUAAUGUUCAAUAUUGAUAACGACCGUGAGC
rnacentral:lncRNA from 13 species